GAUCCGCUGAGCUCGGUAGCGAGAGUGCUAUGAAUAUUACCGACACACGUAAAAGAAUGAUCUGCAUAUGCGUUGGCGACUCUGGUCGUAGGUGUGACCCACUGUUUCACUGACUAAUCAGAAAACCAUCGUCAAAUAUUGCCUUUCAAACAAUUUCAAACCAUUUACUCGUCAGCCAGCGCUUCUGCUGCCCAAACUUCUAAAACUUAGGCAAUCAUUUUUCACUGCUAGCAAUCCUCGUGGGUCGUGGAGGGCUCGUCAGUCAGCUCUUCCCAUAUGGAAAAUAUAGAAAGAACUUAUAUGCCAGCAAUGUGUUUUAUAUACAAAACGUGUAUGGUUUACUCUUGAAAGUGGCCCCUUUCUCGUUUUCCUCAUACAACGUCAUAUAGCUGCUAGUCCUUACAGGUUACAAUGUUUUAUGUUUCAGGUUACACAGAUUUAGCAAGGAUCUUAUAAUGGUUUCACUGGCAUAUAAACCUGAUAUGAGUAAAUCAUAAACGUUUUGUAUAUAAAACACAUUGCUGGCAUAUACGUUUUUCUAUAUCUUUUCCGUAUGGGUUUUGCUCACAACAAUUCUCAUUUUGGUAGAUUGUGGUCGUCUUAAAUAUCCAUAUAAUGUCAUGUCUCAUGACCGGUCUCAUUGACAGUGGUCUUCUGUCACCACUGUAUCCCCAAAUUAUUGUUUCUAUCUUUUUGUUGCAUAGCUACAGCUCACUUCAUCAUCCUAGGUAUGCCACAGCUUCCCCCCCCACACACCUCUCCAUUUGAAACUCCAAAUAUAUGCCUAAAGUGUCCCCUCUUCUUUCUCCUUGUGCAGAUGUCCUGGCUCUCAACAAAGGCACCAGACAGGAUUGUUUUUUCUCUUGCAUAAGCACUUCCUGAUGUCCACUACACUCUUUUCUCAAUCUUCUCCAGUCUUUUGCAAACUGUGAUGUUCAGAUGUCCUAUAAGCCUGACUUCCUGAUGUCCACUACACUCCGUUCUCAACCUUCUCCGGUCUUCUGCAAACUGUGAAUGCCUCCUUGUGUUGGAUUCAUGAUGUUCACCAUACUGCACGGCCUACUUUUUUCUUCGCAAGCUAUGGAAAGAAACUCUGUUCAGCUCAUGAAACGGACUGUUCACAUUUUUUGACUUUUGUGGAGGAAGCAGGGUAUCCUGGUAAUUUUAUUUUGCAGCUACUAUGCUCUCGUAUAUAGGCCC